UACGGCAAUAUCAUAUUGAAACACGAGUUCUCGCGUGAUUCCCGAAGUUAAGCAACGUCGAGCCUGAACAGUACCUAGAUGGGUGAGUGAUUGGAAAUAUAUGGUGCUGUAAG